UUCGGAUCGGAGUCUGCAACCCGACUCCGUGAAGCUGGAUUCGCUAGUAAUCGCGCAUCAGCCAUGGCGCGGUGAAUACGUUCCCGGGCCUUGUACACACCGCCCGUCAAGCCAUGGGAGCCGGGGGUGCUUGAAGUGCGUCGCCGCAAGGCGCGCCCUAGAGCAAAACCGGUGACUGGGGCUAAGUCGUAACAAGGUAUC
rnacentral:rRNA from 1 species